UAAUUGAAGAGUUUGAUCAUGGCUCAGAUUGAACGCUGGCGGCAGGCCUAACACAUGCAAGUCGAACGGUAACA
rnacentral:rRNA from 1 species